UGUUAAUAAACCUCAAACCUUAAUAUUUAAGGGAGUAAAAGUGAGAUUUUGACUUCCUUAGGAGAAUAUCUAUGUGUGCACAACUAUUGGGGGCAGCUAUUAGUGUGCAGAAUUAUUAUGCAACUAAAUUAAAAAUGAAAAAUUUUCCAUCUCACUUGUUUAUUUUCACUUGUUAAAGUGAGAAUGAUAAACAAACAACUCAAUUUACAAAUAAAAAUUGUUGAAAUUUAAAAAAAAAAAAUCAGUGACCAAUAUAGCCACCCUUCUUUUCAUUAACAGUCAUAAGCUUUCCAUUCAUGGAAUCUUUCAGUUUCUUG